rnacentral:rRNA from 1 species
AUUGAACGCUGGCGGCAGGCCUAACACAUGCAAGUCGAGCGGCAGCACGGUGCUUGCUUCUUGUUUCAGCGGCGGACUGGCGGGUGGUUCCUAGGAAUCUCCCUGUUUGUGGUUUCUUACGUGCGGACGCAGGCGCUCUUACGCCAUUCCCGCUGACGGCCUACGUGGGGAAGCUUGGGAUCUUCCGACCUCACGCGAGCGUAGGUCGGAUUAGCUAGUUGGUGGGGUAAAGGCCUACCAAGGCGACGAUCCGUAACUGGUCUGAGAGGAUGAUCAGUCACACUGGAACUGAGACACGGUCCAGACUCCUACGGGAGGCAGCAGUGGGGAAUAUUGGACAAUGGGCGAAAGCCUGAUCCAGCCAUGCCGCGUGUGUGAAGAAGGUCUUCGGAUUGUAAAGCACUUUUAGUGGGGAAGAAGAGCAGUAAGUUAAUACCUUGCUGUUUUGACGGUACCAACAGAAUAAGCACCGGCUAACUUCGUG